rnacentral:rRNA from 1 species
GGAGUUAGCCGGUGCUUCUUCUGUGAGUGAUGUCCUUCCUGCCGGUUAUUGACCCGCAGGCCUUCUUCCUCACUGAAAGUGCUUUACAACCCGAAGGCCUUCUUCACACACGCGGCAUGGCUGGAUCAGGGUUGCCCCCAUUGUCUAAUAUUCCCCACUGCUGCCUCCCGUAGGAGUCUGGGCCGUGUCUCAGUCCCAGUGUGGCUGAUCAUCCUCUCAGACCAGCUACGGAUCGUCGCCUUGGUGAGCCGUUACCUCACCAACCAGCUAAUCCGACAUAGGCUCAUCCGAUAGCGCGAGGCCCGAAGGUCCCCCGCUUUCCCCCGUAGGGCGUAUGCGGUAUUAGCCUGGGUUUCCCCAGGUUAUCCCCCACUACCGGGCAGAUUCCUAUGCAUUACUCACCCGUCCGCCGCUCGCCACCAGGGAGCAAGCUCCCCGUGCUGCCGCUCGACUUGCAUGUGUUAGGCCUGCCGCCAGCGUUCAAUCUGAGCCAUAAUCAAACUCUGA